ACAGAAAUAUGGCUAACAGAAACUUUAAAACCAUGAUAUUUUUGUCAUUUUAGUAGAAAAAAACAUUUAAGUAAAAAAAAAAAAUUCAACAUGAAAAAAUACAGAUCAUAUUGCUUUAAAUCAGUAUUUGAUUUUAUAGAGCUGAAUUUUUAAUUUGAAAAAAUGUAUUUUUGUCUCUUGAUCAAAGCUACCUUCUUGUUUAAACUCUGAAAUGAUACAAAACAUUCGUAGAUUCUUUUUUUCAAUUAAAAGUAAACCCUUCAAUAUCUUAUUGAAUAUUUCUAAAGAUAUAGAAACUUGUUUAUUGUUUUGGCAAUUAAAAACAAUAAAUAAAUCAAAAUUUCUACCUAGGAACUCCUAGAAAAAUUCAUUGUUCUGUGUGUUUCAUCAUUAAUAAUAGGAAUUUGCAAAUCAAAGCUUUUCCCAAAUGCACAAAAAGAGAGCGUAAGUAUUUGAUGCAAGGUUGGCAUGCAUAUAAGUUGUCCUUUGGCCAGUAGAACAAAUUUGUUUACUAUAUGUAUUUUUACUUUCACUUUUGUCCUGUUGAAGGAGUGUGUAGUGUCUUUUAUUCUGUGUCAAGUAAUGUUUAUGGGUGACAGACAUCACAAAUCAUGAUUUAAUUUAAUAAUGAUGAGUUUUGUUGACUUUUAAUUUUUGGAAAUAGAAAUAAAAAAAAAAACCUCGAGUAUGGUCUCUG
rnacentral:sRNA from 1 species